ACCUGGGUGGCUCAGUAGUUGAGCAUCUGCUUUUGGCUCAGGGCGUGAUCCUGGGGUUCUGGGAUCGAGUCCCACUUCAGGUU
rfam:Canis lupus familiaris chromosome 19, whole genome shotgun sequence.